AGGCGGGAACGCAAGUUGGAUGUGAAAUAACCACGCUUAACGUGGUGGCUGCAUUCAAAACUGUGUUUCUUGAGUGGGGCAGAGGCAGGCGGAAUUCCCGGUGUAGCGGUGAAAUGCGUAGAGAUCGGGAGGAACACCAGUGGCGAAGGCGGUCUGCUGGGCCUUUACUGACGCUGAGGCACGAAAGCAUGGGUAGCAAACAGGAUUAGAUACCCUGGUAGUCCAUGCCGUAAACGAUGAUUGCUAGGUGUGGGUGGACUGACCCCAUCCGUGCCGGAGUUAACACAAUAAGCAAUCCACCUGGGGAGUACGGCCGCAAGGUUGAAACUCAAAGGAAUUGACGGGGGCCCGCACAAGCAGUGGAGUAUGUGGUUUAAUUCGAAGCAACGCGAAGAACCUUACCAGGUCUUGACAUCCAAUGAAUCCUUCAGAGAUGAGGGAGUGCCUUUCGGGGAACAUUGAGACAGGUGGUGCAUGGUUGUCGUCAGCUCGUGUCGUGAGAUGUUGGGUUAAGUCCCGCAACGAGCGCAACCCUUGUCAAUAGUUGCUACGCA
rnacentral:rRNA from 1 species